rnacentral:rRNA from 1 species
GAUGAACGCUAGCGGCAGGCCUAACACAUGCAAGUCGAGGGGUAGAACACUUCGGUGUUUGAGACCGGCGCACGGGUGCGUAACGCGUAUGCAAUCUACCUUGUACAGGGGACUAGCCCAGAGAAAUUUGGAUUAAUGCCCCAUAGUAUAUAACCUUAGCAUGUUGGUAAUAGUAAAGUUCCAACGGUACAAGAUGAGCAUGCGUCCCAUUAGCUAGUUGGUAAGGUAACGGCUUACCAAGACGAUGAUGGGUAGGGGUCCUGAGAGGGAGAUCCCCCACACUGGUACUGAGACACGGACCAGACUCCUACGGGAGGCAGCAGUGAGGAAUAUUGGUCAAUGGGCGCAAGCCUGAACCAGCCAUGCCGCGUGCAGGAAGACGGUCCUAUGGAUUGUAAACUGCUUUUAUACAGGAAGAAACAACUCUACGUGUAGAGUCUUGACGGUACUGUAGGAAUAAGGAUCGGCUAACUCCGUGCCAGCCGCCGCUGUAA